AGAAGAGAAAAAACACAGGUCUUAACGUCUUAAUGGAACUGGAAAAGCAAGGAUCAUGUCAGCUGAACUCAAUUAAUGAAACCAGGAAUGAAUGCCAUCACCCAUCUUGUGAGCUGUUGAGGGAGAACAACCACAGGCUGCAGAGGGAAAAUGAUUAUCUCAAGGCAAAAAUAGCAACAUUGAAAUUGCUGCCAGACGUUUUGCAGAAGAUGGAGGAGUUUCUCCGCUCAGCACCAAGACCAAUGACAACACCAAUACCAACACCAACUCCAAGACCAAGACCAAGACCAGAACCAACACUAUCACCAGCACCAACAGCAGUUCCAGCACCAGCAACAGAAGACCCAUCACCAGCUCCAGGUCCAUCAUCAGCAUCAGCAACAGAGGCCCUGGGCCACUCUGUCAUUCCAAAAGGACUUGUGGAGCGCUGCUCCUUCCAAAGCCCCCAGAAGUUCAUAAAUGAUCUCCUACAUGGGAUGUAUACCAGAGAAUAUAUGGCAGGCCAUUCAGUGACUGGACAGUCAUCCAGCAGCUGCACAGAAGGAAAACCUGGCCUAGCCAAACAGGACCUUGCUGAAAUCACAA
ensembl:lncRNA